rnacentral:rRNA from 1 species
UACGUAGGGUGCAAGCGUUGUCCGGAAUUAUUGGGCGUAAAGAGCUCGUAGGCGGCUCGGUAAGUCGGGUGUGAAAACUCUAGGCUCAACCUAGAGACGACACCUGAUACUGCCGUGGCUAGAGUCCGGUAGGGGAGCAUGGAAUUCCUGGUGUAGCGGUGAAAUGCGCAGAUAUCAGGAGGAACACCAGUGGCGAAGGCGGUGCUCUGGGCCGGAACUGACGCUGAGGAGCGAAAGCGUGGGGAGCAAACAGG